AGUGAGAACAUUUUCUAUGUCCAAAUUUGUCAACUCUUUCGUGCACUUUGGGGUGGCAUGGCUUCAGCCUCUGAGAAAACAGUUGAAUAACUUGACUUUAGACUACGUGAUGAUGAGUGGCGUGAUUUAACUACAUAAAGUCAAAAAUACUGCUCAUACUUGUGAUUGUGAUAAACAAAGAAAGCAAAUUUGAAAUUUCGUGUCAAACUGUCAAGGGAUUCUGUUUUAACAUCACGUCGACACUUAGCUGUCAUCUGUCAAUUUGGCUACAAUCUCGGAUCGGUUAACCAUAGGAUCGGAUCUUUUUUCUACAUUCUUCUAUUACUCAAUAUUAUAAGUCCAGGUCAAAUUCGUAUGUGUGAAGUUAAUCUGUACACAUGAAGUCAUUACAGGAAAAUACGACCGUCAAAGAUGAUUAACAUAAUAAUUUGUUACUGUUAGCACUGUCAGUAUUCAAAGAUGUAUUAAUCAGGUGUUCACUUCAACAACAUCACUAUGGAGGAGACUCCUCAUAUUCUCGUUAGCUGGUCCUGCAGUUAUCAGGUACAAGCUAGUGACAAUUUGCCUGGUAUUAAAAUUGUGUUCAUUUUUUACAGGGGAUUGAGUCUUUGUCAGAGGGCAUCGUUUCCCACCAGUCAAUGUUGAACAAAUUGGCCGGUAGCUGGGAAUUCAUUCAUAACUUUGAAAUUUGACAAGCAGGCUGUUUCUAUCUUCGACUAAGCUAAAAGAAGUCAUUGUAUCAUCAGCCCUUACUGAUGAAAUUCUUUUGAAUCCCACAACUAUGACCGCCAUCUAGCCUUUCCAGUCAAUGAGCUUCGAAAAUUAGCAAGCUGUCUGAAAAAAGGGGGAAAACGACUAGGGCUCAAGACUUGUUCUCUGAUAUGAUCCCCAUUAGUACUGACACCAAACUCCCUGCUUUGUUGAUCAAACAAUUGGUUCUGAGUGGAAAACUCACUGAGAUGGAAGCACAUUUAUGAUUCUUGUCCUACCCUACCAUCUGAGCAACUGUUCACCUCACGGGAGAAUCUCUUGAAAGAGAGCCUCAACAUAAAGAUCAAGGAACCGAUACCAUCAACAAGUACAUCAUAGCAUCAUAGCAUGUCGUGCAAGUCGUCAAAGAUCCACACUGCGUACUCCAACUUGAUGCCUGCUUCACUCUACGUAACACCAACUUGAUCCCUGCCAUUGAGCAAUAUGAGCAUCUUACGGAAAUACGCAUCUUGAGCAUCUCACGUCAAAAGCGACUCCGUUCUUUACGCCGUCAACCUCACGUAAUCUUUGCUCUGCAGGCUGCAGCCCAUCGUCACCGUUAACCGCAACAAUUUCUUGCCUGCUAUUCUCCCCCUGAUUCUGAAUGCCACCGAGAUCCGUGUAACCGCUUUCGUUCACCUUGUUCUGCCGGUCUGCGUUCUUACCCACUUUCUUCGAGCUGUUAUCUUUCCCCGUGUCUGUUAUUUGUUUAUAAAAAUACAAUCAUUUGCUAACAAACCUCUUUCGUAUUUCUUUGUUAAUAUAAAGAUAAAAUAAAAGCGCUAAUGUACGCAAA